GCAAGUCGAACGGGAACGGAUUAUAGCUUGCUUUAAUGGUCAGCUAAGGGGCGCACGGGUGAGUAAUAUAUAGGUAACGUGCCUUCAAGAAGGGGAUAACGUUUGGAAACGAACGCUAAUACCCUAUAUGCCUUUAGGACUUAAGUCUGCAAGGGAAAUAUUUAUAGCUUGAAGAUCGGCCUGUACAGUAUCAGUUAGUUGGUGAGGUAAUGGCUCACCAAGACAAUGACGCUUAGCUGGUUUGAGAGGAUGAUC
rnacentral:rRNA from 1 species